AUUUAUAUCCCACUAAGUUCAGAUAAAAC
rfam:Caldalkalibacillus thermarum TA2.A1 ctg154, whole genome shotgun sequence.